CAAUUUUCAUGUUUUCAUUGGCUCUUACUCUUUCAGAGAGACGAAGUAGCCUACAUCCUAGAAACAAGAUUUAAGAAUUGACUCAAGAAAAACAGGGGCCUUUUGUCAAACACUCUGACUGUAGGAAUAAUAUUGCAAAAGAAAAUUGGUCAUUUCCAGCACAGUGAUCACACUAAUAUAGUACAUACAUGUAUCAGUCCCAUCAUCUUCUCACACUUCUGAAAAACUAUUUUGAGUGAUGAAGAGCACUGCAACCAAGGUAUCACUUCUACAGGACAAUUCUUCAUGUGUCAUGAAGAUUCUAACAUUAGAAUCUAUUAAUCUGAAUGGAGAAUGCAGCCUAAAAUUAGUUACAAAUCAUCUGCAUCUGUAAGCACACUCAUACACAAGUUCAAAAUCUGUAUUCCUACAUUCCGUGCCUGAAAUAAAAUAAAAUAAAAUAAAAAUUAAAUUAAAUUAAAUUAAAAAUAAAGGAACAAUGUCUGCACAUAUGAAAUGUGUAAAAUGAUUUGAAGAAGUUGCUGCUAAUAUACAUUCUGCUGUUUAAAAGCAUUACCUCCCUGGGUAGUACUAUUCCACUUAAUACUCCAUUUUCACUUACUUGGAUUAAAAGCAAACAGUAUCCAAAUAUGAAAAAAAAUAUAUAUAUGUUUCAGCCUGAAGAAUCAUUGAUAAAUACAUAGCUACUGCUCUGAGAUAGAGAUAGUUGGUAUGUAAAUCAAAAUAAUUUAAAUAAUUUCACUAGAAAGAAGCUUUGAGGUUGUUUUAGUCUAAUGGUUUAACAAUUUAACAUAUUAAC